rnacentral:lncRNA from 1 species
GGGACAUCUUUAGGUUUUGCACCAUCAUGAUCUAAGAAGACACUCACCUUCCUGCGAUCGAUGUCUUGUGUGUGUGCUUUCACCCUUUGCUGCUUGCAAUGCGAGCUCCGUGGUCUCUAUGCAUUCCUUGGCCCUGGCCAGCCACCAGGGUUGGAAUAGAGACCUUGAAAUAACACCAGCCUCUCGACAGCAAAGGUGGGAGCAUUGUCUCCUGAAGCCAUGGGUCAGCAUGUCCCCAUUCCUGACUCUGGCCCCCGGGACCUCUCUGGCAGCAAGGUGCAUGUGCAGUCAGCUGUAGACUUGUCCUCUUGUCCUCGGGGAAACCUUCCCACCUGGUGACUCGACAGCCUCCCACAGCCAGAGCAGAGACUCAGACAUCUCCAACUGAAUCAACUUUGGGAGGACACUCUAUCCUUCAGGCUGGCCCAGGAGAGUGUUCGUGCCCAAAACAGCAGCCCUGUCUCCUCCUCCACACA